AGUCGACGCCCCGCAAGGGGAGUGGCAGACGGGUGAGUAACGCGUGGGAACGUACCCUUUCCUGCGGAAUAGCUCCGGGAAACUGGAAUUAAUACCGCAUACGCCCUACGGGGGAAAGAUUUAUCGGUAAAGGAUCGGCCCGCGUUGGAUUAGCUAGUUGGUGGGGUAAAGGCCUACCAAGGCGACGAUCCAUAGCUGGUCUGAGAGGAUGAUCAGCCACAUUGGGACUGAGACACGGCCCAAACUCCUACGGGAGGCAGCAGUGGGGAAUAUUGGACAAUGGGCGCAAGCCUGAUCCAGCCAUGCCGCGUGAGUGAUGAAGGCCUUAGGGUUGUAAAGCUCUUUCACCGGAGAAGAUAAUGACGGUAUCCGGAGAAGAAGCCCCGGCUAACUUCGUGCCAGCAGCCGCGGUAAUACGAAGGGGGCUAGCGUUGUUCGGAAUUACUGGGCGUAGAGCGCACGU
rnacentral:rRNA from 1 species